rnacentral:rRNA from 1 species
GACGAACGCUGGCGGCGUGCUUAACACAUGCAAGUCGAACGGAAAGGCCCUGCUUGCAGGGUGCUCGAGUGGCGAACGGGUGAGUAACACGUGGGUGAUCUGCCCCUUACUUUGGGAUAAGCCUGGGAAACUGGGUCUAAUACUGGACAGGAUCAUGCUGUAGGCGGUGUGGUGGAAAGAUUAGUUUCGGUAAGGGAUGAGCUCGCGGCCUAUCAGCUUGUUGGUGGGGUAAUGGCCUACCAAGGCGUCGACGGGUAGCCGGCCUGAGAGGGUGGACGGCCACAUUGGGACUGAGAGACGGCCCAGACUCCUACGGGAGGCAGCAGUGGGGAAUAUUGGACAAUGGGCGCAAGCCUGAUGCAGCGACGCCGCGUGGGGGAUGAGGGCCUUCGGGUUGUAAGCUCCUUUCAGCCAUGACGAAGCCCUUGUGGUGACGGUAGUGUUAGAAGAAGCACCGGCUAACUACGUG